rnacentral:rRNA from 1 species
GACGAACGCUGGCGGCGUGCUUAACACAUGCAAGUCGAACGGACAGGCCCUGCUUUUGUGGGGUGCUCGAUUGGCGAACGGGUGAGUAACACGUGAGUAACCUGCCCUUGUCUUUGUGAUAACUUCAGGAAACUGGGGCUAAUACCGGAUAGGAGCUCCUGCUGCAUGGUGUGGGUUGGAAAGUUUCGGCGGUUGGGGAUGGACUCGCGGCUUAUCAGCUUGUUGGUGGGGUAGUGGCUUACCAAGGCUGUGACGGGUAGCCGGCCUGAGAGCGUGACCGGCCACAUGAGGACUGAGAGACGGCCCAGACUCCUACGGGACGCAGUAGUGGGGAAUAUGGCACAAUGGGCGGAAGCCUGAGGCAGCAACCCCGCGUGCGGGAUGACGGGCUUCGGGUUGUAAACCGCUUUCGCCGGUGACGAAGCGUGAGUGACGGUAAUGGGUAAAGAAGCAACGGCUAACUACGUG